UACGAAGGGGGCUAGCGUUGCUCGGAAUCACUGGGCGUAAAGGGUGCGUAGGCGGGUCUUUAAGUCAGGGGUGAAAUCCUGGAGCUCAACUCCAGAACUGCCUUUGAUACUGAAGAUCUUGAGUUCGGGAGAGGUGAGUGGAACUGCGAGUGUAGAGGUGAAAUUCGUAGAUAUUGGGAAGAACACCGGUGGCGAAGGCGGCCCGCUGGGCAGAGACUGACGCUGAGGCGCGACAGCGUGGGGAGCAAACAGG
rnacentral:rRNA from 1 species